GGGGAUUUGGCUCAGUGGUAGAGCGCUUGCCUAGGAAGCGCAAGGUCCUGGGUUCGAUUCCCCAGCCCCG
rfam:Rattus norvegicus chromosome 20, whole genome shotgun sequence.